UACGGGGGGGGGUAAGCGUUGUUCGGAAUUACUGGGCGUAAAGGGCUCGUAGGCGGCCAACUAAGUCAGACGUGAAAUCCCUCAGCUUAACUGGGGAACUGCGUCUGAUACUGGAUGGCUUGGAUUCGGGAGAGGAAUGCGGAAUUCCAGGUGUAGCGGUGAAAUGCGUAGAUAUCGUAAGGAAGACCAGUGGCGAAGGCGGGUCUCUGGACAGUUCCUGACGCUGAGGCACGAAGGCCAGGGGAGCAAACGGG
rnacentral:rRNA from 1 species